rnacentral:rRNA from 1 species
CCCUUAGAUGUUCUGGGCUGCACGCGCGCUACACUGAAGCGUUCAACGAGUAUUUCACCUUGCCCGGGAGGGUUGGGUAAUCUUUUUAAAACGCUUCGUGAUGGGGAUAGAUUAUUGCAAUUAUUAAUCUUCAACGAGGAAUUCCUAGUAAGCGCGAGUCAUCAGCUCGUGCUGAUUACGUCCCUGCCCUUUGUACACACCGCCCGUCGCUCCUACCGAUUGAGUGCUCAGGUGAAUAAUUCGGACUGCGGCUGAUUGGGGACUCUUCAGUCGGCUGUGGAAAGUCUAGUGAACCUUAACACUUAGAGGAAGGAGAAGUCGUAACA